rnacentral:rRNA from 1 species
CAGUCGCCACGGUAACACGUAGGGUGCGAGCGUUAAUCGGAGUUACUGGGCGUAAAGCGUGCGCAGGCGGUUCGUUAAGACAGAUGUGAAAUCCCCGGGCUUAACCUGGGAACUGCAUUUGUGACUGGCGAGCUAGAGUAUGGCAGAGGGGGGUAGAAUUCCACGUGUAGCAGUGAAAUGCGUAGAGAUGUGGAGGAAUACCGAUGGCGAAGGCAGCCCCCUGGGCCAAUACUGACGCUCAUGCACGAAAGCGUGGGGAGCAAACAGGAUUAGAUACCCCGGUAGUCCCUGUCUCUUAACA